rnacentral:rRNA from 1 species
UACGGAGGGGGCGAGCGUUUAUUCGGAAUUAUUGGGCGUAAAGGGCGCGUAGGCGGCUGUACAAGUCAAAGGUGAAAUCCCUCGGCUCAACCGAGGAACUGCGUCCGAUACUGGCAGGCUGGAAUCCGGGAGAGGGAUGUGGAAUUCCAGGUGUAGCGGUGAAAUGCGUAGAUAUCUGGAGGAACACCGGUGGCGAAGGCGGCAUCCUGGACCGGUAUUGACGCUGAGGCGCGAAAAGCUAGGGGAGCAAACGGGG